AGAGUUUGAUCCUGGCUCAGAGCGAACGCUGGCGGCAUGCUUAACACAUGCAAGUCGAACGUGAAAAUCCUUCGGGAUUAGUAAAGUGGCGCACGGGUGAGUAACACGUGGGUAAUCUACCUUAAAGCCUGGAAUAACCUGCCGAAAGGCGGGCUAAUACUGGAUAGAGCGAGAAGUUCGUGAAGGACUUUUCGGAAAAGGGAGCUCGUAAGGGCCCUCACUUUAAGAUGAGCCCGCGCCCCAUUAGCUUGUUGGUAGGGUAACGGCCUACCAAGGCUAUGAUGGGUAGCUGGUCUGAGAGGAUGAACAGCCACACUGGGACUGAAACACGGCCCAGACUCCUACGGGAGGCAGCAGUGGGGAAUAUUGCGCAAUGGGCGAAAGCCUGACGCAGCCAUGCCGCGUGAGUGAAGAAGGCCCUUGGGUUGUAAAGCUCUGUUGAGAGGGACGAAACACUCUGAGGUUAACAGCCUCGGAGCUUGACGGUACCUCUUUAGAAAGCACCGGCUAACUCCGUGCCAGCAGCCGCGGUAAUACGGAGGGUGCAAGCGUUGCUCGGAAUUACUGGGCGUAAAGGGAAGGUAGGUGGUUUUGCAUGUCCAAGGUGAAAGCCCCGGGCUUAACUCGGGAAGUGCCUUGGAAACGGCAAAACUAGAGUCCUGAGAGGGUUGUGGAAUUCCCGGUGUAGCGGUGAAAUGCGUAGAGAUCGGGAGGAACACCAGAGGCGAAGGCGGCAACCUGGACAGGAACUGACACUAAACUUCGAAAGCGUGGGUAGCAAACAGGAUUAGAUACCCUGGUAGUCCACGCCGUAAACGAUGGGCACUAGAUUUAGUGGGUCUUAACCCCUGCUGAGUCGGCGCUAACGCAAUAAGUGCCCCGCCUGGGGAGUACGGUCGCAAGACUAAAACUCAAAGGAAUUGACGGGGGCCCGCACAAGCGGUGGAUCAUGUGGUUUAAUUCGAAGCAACGCGAAGAACCUUACCUAGGCUUGACAUUUCCUGACAGCUCUAGAAAUAGAGUCUUGGUGGUAACACCACAGGAGGACAGGUGCUGCAUGGCUGUCGUCAGCUCGUGUGGUGACAUGUUGGGUUAAGUCCCGCAACGAGCGCAACCCCUACCUUUAGUUGCCAGCAUUCAGUUGGGCACUCUAAAGGGACUGCCGUGGUUAACACGGAGGAAGGUGGGGAUGACGUCAAGUCCUCAUGGCCCUUACGCCUAGGGCAACACACGUGAUACAAUGGCUGACACAAAGGGAUGCGAAGGGGUGACCUGGAGCAAAUCUCAAAAAGUUGGUCUCAGUUCGGAUUGAAGUCUGCAAUUCGACUUCAUGAAGUAGGAAUCGCUAGUAAUCGCGGAUCAGAACGCCGCGGUGAAUACGUUCCCGGGCCUUGUACACACCCGUCACACCAUGGAAGCUGACUCAACCAGAAGGCACAAUGGCUAACCGCAAGGAGGCCACUGCACAAGGUGGGGUUGGUGACUGGGGUGAAGUCGUAACAAGGUA
rnacentral:rRNA from 1 species